AUGAACGCUGGCGGCGUGCCUAAUACAUGCAAGUCGAGCGAACGGACGAGAAGCUUGCUUCUCUGAUGUUAGCGGCGGACGGGUGAGUAACACGUGGAUAACCUACCUAUAAGACUGGGAUAACUUCGGGAAACCGGAGCUAAUACCGGAUAAUAUUUUGAACCGCAUGGUUCAAAAGUGAAAGACGGUCUUGCUGUCACUUAUAGAUGGAUCCGCGCUGCAUUAGCUAGUUGGUAAGGUAACGGCUUACCAAGGCAACGAUGCAUAGCCGACCUGAGAGGGUGAUCGGCCACACUGGAACUGAGACACGGUCCAGACUCCUACGGGAGGCAGCAGUAGGGAACCUUCCGCAAUGGGCGAAAGCCUGACGGAGCAACGCCGCGUGAGUGAUGAAGGUCUUCGGAUCGUAAAACUCUGUUAUUAGGGAAGAACAUAUGUGUAAGUAACUGUGCACAUCUUGACGGUACCUAAUCAGAAAGCCACGGCUAACUACGUG
rnacentral:rRNA from 1 species